rnacentral:lncRNA from 1 species
CUGUGCUGCAUAACAAAGGAAAUAGAAUAACGUGUAUCCAAUCAAAUCCAUCAUCACAAAGAUCUAAUCAUAACAAUCAUUCAUUAUUAACAUCAUUUAGGGAAUUCAACAAUCCAGUUCAUUACGUCAAUAGGAAUCAUCGGGCCGGAAUCAUUGACCAGUCACAUUACACAAAAUGUUUGAAGCGUGCGCUCCAAGCCGGGCUCUGCGAUAAUAACUUCAAACAACAACUGAUGGCCCACUCUCCCGAUCGCAACAGAUAGUUCAGAUGAAUGUUCAGAUGAUAGGGAACAGAGUCGGUGGAUUCAUGGACGCACAGAACUUCUGGAUUUGACAGAGUGAAGGAAGAGAAAGCAGCGCGAUCAGGCGAUGGUGAUUUCCUCCUUUUAUGGAGUGGAGAUCUGUCGGACAUUUCCACCUGACCUAAGACUGGCAAAGCAGCCUAAUACUAACAAGAGGCAGAGCCCUUCAAAGUUACUGCAAUAGAAGUCUCUGCCGACAGGUAUCCACUGACUGACAUAUCUACACUGAACAAAACGCAACAAUGGUCCCAUGUUUCAUGAGCUGAAAUAAAAGAACCCAGACAUUUUCCAUAUGCACAAAAAGUG